rnacentral:lncRNA from 1 species
UGUAGCUCUGCAGCUCUGAUUCGACCCCUAGCCUGGAGACCUCCAUAUGCCACAGGCGUGGACAUAAAAAGAAAAAAAAAAAAGGAAAGAAACUACUAUGGAGGUUCAGUGUAGUAUCAGAAAAUAAACACAAUUUUUUGGAAAGGCUAUGGAAAUACUCCCUCUCUUUUCCAACAACAUCAUGUUCAUAUAUUUCCACCAAAACAAGAUACUGCAACAAAUUGCAUAAAAAGGUGCAUAUGGGAAUUCCCACUGUGGUGGGUUAAGAAUAUGACUGCAGUGGCUCAGGUCGCUGCAGAGGUGCAGGUUCAAUUCCUAACCCAGCACAGUAGGUUAAAGGAUCCAGAGUUGCCACAGCUGCAGCUAGGAUUCAGUCCCUGGCCCAGGAACUUUCUAUGCUGUGGGUGAGGCCAUAAUAAAUAAAAAAUAAAUAAGCAGAUAUGAGAAUCCGUUUCAAUUCUAUUAAAUCAGUCCACAAAGAGAUCUGAGAAGGUAAAACAAUAAUUUUUUUUUGUUUUGUAAAGAUAGUUUCUUUCAUUUAAAUGUGGUAGUUGUGUUAAUAUAUGAUGUUGUUCUUUAAGAUAAAUAUUUUAAAAUUACCUUUUUUCGGCCGUACCCCUGACAUGCAGAAGUUCCUCGGCCAGGGAUUGAACUGGAGCCACAGCAGUGACAAUGAUGGAUUCUUAACCCACUCAGCCACCAGGGAACUCCUCCAUUUUUAUUUCUAAUAUCAGUAGGUAUAACUCAUAAAGACAAAAGCUGGAGUUCCUGUCAUGGCACAGCAGAAACAAAUCCAACUAGGAACCAUGAGGUUGCAGGUUCGAUCCCUAACCUCACUCAGUGGGUUAAGGAUCCAGUGUUGCCAUGAGCUGUGGUGUAGACUGGCAGCUGUAGUUCUGAUUAGACCUCUAGCCUGGGAACCUCCAUAUGCUUCAGGUGUGGCACUGAAAAAAGCUAUUUUGUGGUCCUCAAAAUUUUUUCUUAAGUGUAAAAUUUCUUCAGUCCAAAACUUUUGAGAAAUGCCAUAUAAAACAGUGGGAAAAUUUUAAAAAUUAUAUAAAAAAAGAGACAGUGCAGCACUGAUGGGAGGUCAGAUAUAUCCAAGGAAUAUAAGUGAAAGUCCAGAAAUAAACCGUUAUGUUUAUGGUCAGUUUAUCUUAAAAAAAAAAAAUUCCAGUGCUUCCCUUCAUACUUCUAAUGAUACAGACAGUUCACAGAUAGGUCAUAGACUAUCAUUCCAGAAUCCUCAUAAGCAGGAAUUUCUUCAGUGUCUUUCAGCUUUGCUCCUCCUUUAGAAACGUUGGUUGGUUUGACUUUCAUUUAGGUUUCUGUCAGUCUUGAAACAAUUUAAGCUCACCUUAUUUCAGCCCACUAUUCUUCAUCAUACAGAAGAAUAUCAAGCAUAUAGAACUUUUCAUUUCAGUAAUAAAAACAAGCAGCGUCUAGUAUUUCCUGAGCAUGUACUAUAUAUAUAUGUCAGGCUCUGCGCUGAGUGCUUUAUGUUUGUUUUCUCAUUUAAUUUUCUCAACAGCGCCUACAAAUCAGAUGAACAUGGUCUUUGGUUUGCCAGUUGGUUGGGGUGGUCCUGGUUUCUGCCACUUGUUCAAGAAUAACUACUAAUAGUAUCCACUUCCUAGCACAUACAUUUCCCAUUUUGGACAUAAAUUAUCUGAUCACACUCCCUGUAAGAUUACUGUCCACAAUUUACAAAUUAGGAAACUGAGGCAUAGAAAGAUUGUGUCUUGCGCAAAGUACACGGAUAGUAAAUGUGGAUCUGGGAUCUAACCCAGGUCUGUCUAGCUUUGUAGUUCAGUCUUUUAAGAAUUAUGAGCUGUUUCAGUGCUCCUGAGAUUUAUGUUGAUCCCGACCACAGUAAUAUAUUCCAGAAUAAAAUAAAGCGUAACACAGAAACUUAGGAUAAAUUUUCAGUUCAAUUGCACUAGUGAAAUACAGACAUAAGAGACGUGUCAUCUCCAAGCUCAUCUUUUGCACGGUUCAGAGGCCCGCGUUUGCUAUUAACACUGGGCUGAAAAGCAGUGUGUGGGUGGGUGGGCUGGGUGGGGUGGGAGGCAGUUCUUGCAGUUCAGUAAAGCUGAAGGAUGCCUAUUUAUAAAACAAGAAUGGUGGCCCAAACUGUUACAGGGCUUCCUAAUAGGGAUUCUCCCUGAUCAUAAGUAACAGAACACUAGUUUUGUUGGGUGUAUAAAUGUGCCCAGCUUAAAACUGCAUCUGCCAGCGCUGCUUGCCAAUGAAGGAGCUGACCAUACCAUGCCGUUCUGGGCAAUGAAAUGCAAGUGAAAGUUGUUGGAUGGGGCUUCUGGGAAUGUGUUUUUUGUUUGUUUGUUUGUUUGUCUUUUUGCCAUUUCUAGGGCCGCUCCGGUGGCAUAUGGAGGUUCCCAGGCUAGGGGUCUAAUUGGAGCUGUAGACGCCGGCCUACGCCAGGGCCACAGCAACGUGGGAUCCGAGCUGCGUCUGCAACCUACACCACAGCUCACGGCAACGCCGGAUCGUUAACCCACUGAGCAAGGCCAGGGAUGGAACCGCAACCUCACAGUUUCCAGUCAGAUUCGCUAACCACUGAGCCACGACGGGAACUCAAGGGAAUGCUUUCUUAAAAUGAAAGGCCCAUUUAGCUGACCUUGCCUUCUGCUUUUCUUUACAUCUGGAACUCAACUGCUGUACUGGAGCUUGAGCAGCCAUCCUGUGACUGCAAAGGAACACGCACAUAUUAAGGAUGCUGGGUGAAGGGAAGAGAGAAGGUCCUGGCUCUCCGAGGACGUUGUGGAUAUUCCAGAUCAGCCCUGGACUAAAAAAGACGUAUAUGAUAGAUUAAAGUUUCUGGAAAAAUAGUCACUGGCUAAAAAAUCCCGUGUCAUGCCGGUGAUGCUGGAACAUCCGAACGUGGCCUCGCUUGCCUCAAGAUGGGAAGGCGUGCAUGCUUCUCACCGAGACCGGGGGCGGGGGCGGGAUUCCCUCAAACGGGGAGAAGGCUUGGGUACCGGGCCAAGUACAGCUGUCUGCUGCAGCUGUCUAGAACUAAAGCAAAAUAUGUGUUCCCACACGGCGCAGUUUGUUUUGGUGCCAUGUAUGUAUUUAGGGCCUCUACAAUGGCUUAAAAAGUAAUAAAAACACAUGAAUUGAG